UACGUAGGCACCAAGCGUUGUCCGGAUUUAUUGGGCGUAAAGAGCUCGUAGGCGGUUCGGUAAGUCGGGUGUGAAAACUCUGGGCUCAACCCAGAGAGGCCACCCGAUACUGCCGUGACUGGAGUGCGGUAGGGGAGUGGGGAAUUCCUGGUGUAGCGGUGAAAUGCGUAGAUAUCAGGAGGAACACCGGUGGUGUAGACGGCUUUCUGGACCGACACUGACGCUGAGACACGAAAGCGUGGGUAGCAAACAGG
rnacentral:rRNA from 1 species